GGGAGAAGAACCUGUCAGCUUAACCAAGGAUAAUUGCCUGGAAUCCAACCAAGAAAUUAAACUUGGUGAAACUUCUUGUGAGCUACAGGCAAGUCAUCCUUGGCUACCAAACAAGAUUCUUAUCU
rfam:Gossypium raimondii Chr03_contig_415, whole genome shotgun sequence.